UCGGCCUGCCUCCGCAGGAUGACGUUCCUCCCAAGACUAGGGGGCCCCGGUUUCGCCGGGGCCCCUCUUUUUUGUGCGCG
rnacentral:sRNA from 1 species